GGCGGAGUGGCUCGGUAGCAGCAGCAGCAUCAGACUGGACCUUCCGAAGGCGGCUUCAUCGUGUCAUUUUGCCUUGAAGUUGAGUGCUUCCCAACCUGUACUGCAUGGCGGGUCAGUUUCUGUCUCGACAAGAUGGCAGACAGUGACACA